rnacentral:lncRNA from 11 species
GAACUUCAUUCUUCACCUAUUUAAUGAAGUUUGUGGCAGAAAAACGAAGUUCCUAGGCUGAUGUUUCUGGCGGACAUCCUGCGAUGGCCAUCUUGGAGGCCUCUAAAUCUUGCAACAAAGCAGCAAAUGUGGAUGACAGAGGCAGAAAUCCCAGGACCAACAAGUCUGAGUCUUAAACCAACGGAAGAAGUUAUAAAAAUGACUGACACAAACACUCUUCUGAAAAAAAAAUAACUGCCUACUCACUUUGCAAAAGAAAUGAAAAUGGCUGAGACUGGGAAUGGUGCCAUACCUGCAAAGUGCCUCUGUUUGCUUGGGGUGCAUAACAUUUCUUGUGUGAACUUAUGUGAUGCUUCUUAUGUGA